UUCGGCCUUAUGAUGCGGAAACGCCCAAAAUUUCAUUCUCGAUCUCUUUUCUUCAUUUUGCGAAUUCUGAGAAUGAGAAUCGAUCAAUAACUCUACAGGAGUAGAUUGGUCAGUCUUCUCCAGCGAAGGUCUAGAAGACUGGAUUUCUAUCACGGGGACGUGCUUUUCAGGAGCAUCUUGGUUUCGUCUAGUGUCAGCAAUCUCUAAAACACUUCCCGUACUACUGUCGAAUGACAACUCAGAAACACGAUCACUAAUCUCAAACUCUCUAUGAUUUUCUAAAGGCACCUGCUCCAUUGAAUCCCUUAAUUUAGGACUCAUGGUUAAAUUUGAAACCAAAGAAUCAUCGGCAUAAGAAGCAACAUUUUCUGACGGUGGUAAAACGGGAGAUGGAGAGCUGGAUAUAUCCUGACUUAAAAUUGCUUCUUGACUUACAGGUCUUGAGUCUGCUUUUCCAUAAAAACGGAUAGGAGAAGAUUGAUCACGAUAACGAGAAGAUCCAGGAAAAUCAGAAGAUAAUACAGAGAAGGGACUAGCAUUGAGAGGAGAAGUAGAGCCAGGAACCUGUCGAAGUAUGGCUCGCAGCCAACUCUUCUGAUCUUCAACAUCUCUUGCUAAAAGAACGUGAACAGUUGCAGUUCCCGUUCGCGUUUCCGUUUGUUUUUCCUGAAUUACAAAAGCGGAUUGAUAAUUUUCACCAGUUAAAAAUUCAUGAGGAGGAUCAAUGAUAGAAAAUAUAGGUAAAUUGGCAUUAUAGCGAUUCACCUGCGCAUCUUUUAAAUGGAUUGUACCAAGUACUGGAGAAUUUC